AGAAUUACAAAGGUCAAAUAGGGGGUGCUUAUAUUUGUCCUGUGUCACACGUGUACAACUGUGUAACCUAUACAAGUGUGUGGCUAUGACACAGUCCACUUUAGUAAUACAAUGUAUCUCUAAGACCAGGGACACAGGCCACUCUAGUAAUAUAAUGUAUCUCUAUGACCAGGUACAUUAGACCUCUCUAGUAAUAUAAUGUAUCUCUAUGACCAGGUACAUUAGACCUCUCUAGUAAUAUAAUGUAUCUCUAUGACCAGGUACAUUAGACCUCUCUAGUAAUAUAAUGUAUCUCUAUGACCAGGUACAUUAGACCUCUCUAGUAAUAUAAUGUAUCUCUAUGACCAGGUACAUUAGACCUCUCUAGUAAUAUAAUGUAUCUCUAUGACCAGGUACAUUAGACCUCUCUAGUAAUAUAAUGUAUCUCUAUGACCAGGUACAUUAGACCUCUCUAGUAAUAUAAUGUAUCUCUAUGACCAGGUACAUUAGACCUCUCUAGUAAUAUAAUGUAUCUCUAUGACCAGGUACAUUAGACCUCUCUAGUAAUAUAAUGUAUCUCUAUGACCAGGUACAUUAGACCUCUCUAGUAAUAUAAUGUAUCUCUAUGACCAGGUACAUUAGACCUCUCUAGUAAUAUAAUGUAUCUCUAUGACCAGGUACAUUAGACCUCUCUAGUAAUAUAAUGUAUCUCUAUGACCAGGUACAUUAGACCUCUCUAGUAAUAUAAUGUAUCUCUAUGACCAGGUACAUUAGACCUCUCUAGUAAUAUAAUGUAUCUCUAUGACCAGGUACAUUAGACCUCUCUAGUAAUAUAAUGUAUCUCUAUGACCAGGUACAUUAGACCUCUCUAGUAAUAUAAUGUAUCUCUAUGACCAGGUACAUUAGACCUCUCUAGUAAUAUAAUGUAUCUCUAU